GAAGCACGCCAGGCCGUCGCUGGUGCACCCGCCGAAAGGCCGCACUGGAGGAACGUCCGGACUGCACAGGGCAGCGUAGCAGGUAACACCUGUCCACCGCGAGGUGAGGAUCAGAGCAACAGAGACGAGUCUUCCGUGCCGCGCAAGUGGUGUGGGAGGGUGAAACGGGCAAUCUCUACGCGCAGCAAUACCAAAUAGGCCAGCGUUGAUGCGGUCCCGCGGAGCUGGCGGGUAGGUAGCACCGAGCCGGUGGGGCGACCCCCGGCCCAGAUGAAUGACGGUCACGCCUGGGCGACCAGGCGCACAGGAUCCGGCGUAUCGGCGGGCUUCACAC
rnacentral:RNase_P_RNA from 1 species